rnacentral:rRNA from 1 species
CCCUUAGAUGUUCUGGGCAGCACGCGCGCUACAAUGGUCUUCGCAAACGGAUGCAUUCUCGAAGGAGAGUGCCAAUCUUGGAAUCUAUGCCUUGGUCGGGACAGUUGCUUGCAAUUUUUCGACUCGAACCAGGAAUUCCUUGUAAUCGUGAUUCAUCACAUCACGAUGAAUACGUCCCUGCCCUUUGUACACACCGCCCGUCGCUCCUACCGAUCGAAGAGUUAGGUGAAUUGUUUUGAUCGAUAAGAUUUGACUAUGGUCAACUCUCGUUGUGAAAUUCUGUGAAUCUGACUGUUUAGAGGAAGGAAAAGUCGUAACA